GGCGGACCACCGCUCAAUCGCCGCACGGCGAGCCGGGGAACCACUAUGUAAUGGGGUGAGUCCGCUGAGUAAUCGGCGGUAGGGAUCGCUUCCGUCCCGAACCCGUCAGCUAACCCGGUCGGCGGCCACACGGAAGGAAA
rnacentral:sRNA from 2 species